UGGGGAAUCUUGCGCUAAUGCGGGAAACCGUGACGCAGCGACGCCGCGUGAGGGAAGAAGGCCUUCGGGUUGUAAACCUCUUUCAGGAGGGACGAAGCCACUCGGGUUAAUAGCCCAGAGGGUGACGGUACCUCCAGAAGAAGCCCCGGCUAACUACGUGCCAGCAGCCGCGGUAAUACGUAGGGGGCAAGCGUUGUCCGGAUUUAUUGGGCGUAAAGAGCGUGUAGGCGGCUAGAUAGGUCCGUUGUGAAAACUCGAGGCUCAACCUCGAGACGUCGAUGGAAACCAUCUGGCUAGAGUCCGGAAGAGGAGAGUGGAAUUCCUGGUGUAGCGGUGAAAUGCGCAGAUAUCAGGAAGAACACCCGUGGCGAAGGCGGCUCUCUGGUACGUGACUGACGCUGAGACGCGAAAGCGUGGGGAGCAAACA
rnacentral:rRNA from 1 species